GUUGUGUAUUUGGAGAGCUUAAAUUCCGAAUAUUUCGAGAAGUUGCAAGGACUGGAAUCUUCUUUGCAGUGUCUUGAAGAUGAGCUGAAGGCAGUUAGAACUUCAAACCACCAAUUGAAAGAUGAAAAUGAGCGAGUGGUCAAACAGUUGGAAACAGUUCAGGAUGAGAAAGAAAGUCUGAAAGUUGUGGUUUCCCGCAGUAGCUGUAAUCUGAAAAUGAUGAGCGAGAAGUUGACAGAAUUCAACAAACUUGAAGGUCAAAUUGAAGAACUAGAAUUGUCUCUAAAAAAAGGAAUGAGAACUUGGAGGAGCUCGAGAAAAAUUUGGCGGCGUUAACAACGCGUAAGAACUAUUACAAGCAAUGGGCAGCUGAUCUCCAAAAAGAACUUUCAACCCUAGAAUCAUCUAAAAGACAAAACGAAGAGCUGAAAAAGAAAUGCAGUGAUUUGGAAACUUUAAUCGGCCCGUUCCGUCAGCAUCUGGAAGAUUACGAACGAGAAAACAAAGUACUGGAAUCCACGAAUGAGGCCUAUCAAGAGGAGAAGAAGGCUUUACUGUUGAAAUUUGCAGAUCUCCUCGGUCACCAAAAUCCCAAACAGAAGAUAAAGUAUAUUAACAAAAUUAUAGAAGAAAAUAAUGAACUGCACAAGGAGAUUGAAAGAUUGAAAAAGCGGUUACGGAAGCUACAAAGUACGGAAAAGGCAAAUGUUGAAAACGGCCUAAACACUGUCAAAGUGGACGGAGGUGGACUCAACCCUGUCAAAGUAGACGGAUCUUCUAGUCCUCGCCCUGCCAAAUUAGAGAAGACUCCUCUGAGAGAACGAAAUUAA
rnacentral:lncRNA from 1 species